rnacentral:rRNA from 1 species
UACAGAGGUCCCGAGCGUUGUUCGGAUUCAUUGGGCGUAAAGGGUGCGUAGGCGGCGAGCUAAGUUUGGUGUGAAAUCCUGGGGCUUAACCUCAGAAUUGCACUGAAUACUGGUUUGCUAGAGGACUGGAGAGGAGAUUGGAAUUCACGGUGUAGCAGUGAAAUGCGUAGAUAUCGUGAGGAAGACCAGUGGCGAAAGCGAAUCUCUGGACAGAUCCUGACGCUGAUGCACGAAGGCCAGGGGAGCAAACGGG